GUGUGUGGGAGCUUAACCGUGUGCAAGGGGAGAGAUGGAGAGGGGGGGGGAUAGAUGGAGCGCAAUGAAAAGGGAAAAACUCCAGCCAUUAAUCAGACACAGAGUUGGUGGGGGUGGGGGUGGACAGAAUAGAGAGAUAGAGAGACAGAGAGAGAGAGACAGAGAGAGAGAGAGACAGAGAGACAGAGAGAGAGAGAGAGAGAGAGAGAGAGAGACAGAGAGAGAGAAAGAGAGGAAAAGGAUAACUCUCCAUUCUCUCUGCAGGAUAAUCAGUGACGCUACAUUCAGUCAUAAAUCCUCUGAGCAGCAGAGCAGUAAUAGGGGUGCAUUGCAUGGUGCCAUUGCCAGAGAUAUUAUAGAAAGAAGAUAGGAAUCCAAUGAAUGAAGGAACGUAUAACGUCCCAGCCAGCAGACUGUUUACAAAUCGUGUCGUCAUGCUGCUUCACGUGGUUGCUAUGCUAAUCAUCACGCAAUCCCUUCUCAAAGUCAGUAUAUGUCGAGAAACGUGCCUAAUUGUCCUCGAAAGUACGUGUUGUCAUGAUUCCAAAGCUAUACAAUACUACAGAUAGCAAGUUAAUUAUCUCAGAUCUCUGAAAAGAUUUGUAAUGUUGUACUUAUUGUUGACGAAAUUUGUGCUCAUGUUGGGUUUUUAACGAGUCUGGGCUCCCAUUCAGUCCUUGAAGGAGAGCGCUUCUUGUCCCAGAAUCGCCCAGAAUGCACCGCACAGCCCGUUGACGUAGCAUGGGCAACGUUUCCUAUCUCCUCAAAAGUAUAACUGCCGUUGCGAAUGUCAGACUCCACUCAGUGAGGCAAAUCGAUCUGCAGCUACUUUACAUGCUGAUAUCGACCCUUGAUAUUAUUGUGUGUUGCUAGCUACAUUUGCUCGCUAACUAGCUAACUAGCCAGAGCAUUGCAUUGUGAAUUUUGCAGUCAACUUGAGCUGCAACAGAUUUCCACAACUAAUUUCCCAUGUCGCUAUCAACCUUAUUAUAACGGCAAAAUGAAACAUUUAUUCACAAAAAAAUAUUGUUUUCACAUAUUAGUGUCAUCUAACACUGUAAGUUAAAUGAAUGAGUGGUUUUGGGUGGAUGUUUCCUGUGAGAUGCAGUACCAGACAGUCGUGACAAUUGCCUUUAAUGGUGGAACAGAAGGGUUUUGGGAGAGAGAGAGAGAGAGAUAGAAAACGGAGAUUGAGAGGAUAGAGAGAGGGGUUUGAAGAGGCGAGACUGCCAGAGCGCAAGAGACACACACAGAGAGAGAGAUGAAAAUAACCAGUCCCUCUCAACAACCUGUGUGGUAGGGUUAUUGCUGAGCAACGUCCACACACACGGCAGACCAAGUGAUGAAAGAUGGCCUGGCGAGUAUUAAUGUAGUAAACAAUGAAAC
rnacentral:lncRNA from 1 species